UACGUAGGGGGCAAGCGUUGUCCGGAAUCAUUGGGCGUAAAGCGCGUGUAGGCGGCUGAGUAAGUCUGCUCUGAAAGCCCGGGGCUCAACCCCGGGAGGCGGGUGGAUACUGCUCAGCUCGAGUCCGGAAGAGGAGUGUGGAAUUCCUGGUGUAGCGGUGAAAUGCGCAGAUAUCAGGAGGAACACCAAUUGCGAAGGCAGCUCGCUGGGACGUUACUGACGCUGAGACGCGAAAGCGUGGGGAGCAAACAGG
rnacentral:rRNA from 1 species